AAAAGGCAGUAUCUUACCAAGUCGACGAUAUAGGCUGAAUACAAGAAAGCGCGCUGCCAUACCACAGUCUAUGCGAGGAUGCAUUUGCCAUUUUGCAGUGAAGCGAUUGUAUGCACGCCCAUCAGUUGCACUCAUAAUAUAUCAUGAAAGGCGUCAUAUCAACAAAUCUGGAACUAUAUGUCAUGGACCGCUUGAUAAAGAUGCUAUUGGCCCCGGUGCCAAGAAAGUUCCAUACAUAUCCACUGAAAUGCAACAGCGGACUAUGUCUUUGAUGUACCUUGGAAUGCCUGAGGAGAAUGUUUUAGAAGCACAUUUAGAAGG
rnacentral:misc_RNA from 1 species